rnacentral:misc_RNA from 1 species
AAAGUCGUAACAAGGUCUCCGUUGGUGAACCAGCGGAGGGAUCAUUACAAGAAGCCGAAAGGCUGCUUAAAACCAUCGCGAACCUAUCCAUCAGCGUUGCUUCGGCGGGAGGAGGCCGUGGGGCCGACGUCUGCCGAGACGCCGGGCCCGGGGCCGGGACCCACGCCUCCCCAGGAGGUGCGGGGCCCGCCCGCCGGAGGUACGAAACUCUUCUGCAUCUAUAGUGGAAUCUCUGAGUAAGCAAGCAAAUAAGUCAAAACUUUCAACAACGGAUCUCUUGGUUCUG